rnacentral:rRNA from 1 species
UGAGUAACCUGCCCUUAACUCUGGGAUAAGCCUGGGAAACUGGGUCUAAUACCGGAUAUGACUCCUCAUCGCAUGGUGGGGGGUGGAAAGCUUUAUUGUGGUUUUGGAUGGACUCGCGGCCUAUCAGCUUGUUGGUGAGGUAAUGGCUCACCAAGGCGACGACGGGUAGCCGGCCUGAGAGGGUGACCGGCCACACUGGGACUGAGACACGGUCCAGACUCCGUACGGGAGGCAG